GACGAACGCUGGCGGCGUGCUUAACACAUGCGAGUCGAACGGAAAGGCCUCUUUCGGGGGGUACUCGAGUGGCGAACGGGUGAGUAACACGUGAGUAACCUGCCCUUGACUUUGGGAUAACUUCAGGAAACUGGGGCUAAUACCGGAUAGGAGCUCCUGCUGCAUGGUGGGGGUUGGAAAGUUUCGGCGGUUGGGGAUGGACUCGCGGCUUAUCAGCUUGUUGGUGGGGUAGUGGCUUACCAAGGCUUUGACGGGUAGCCGGCCUGAGAGGGUGACCGGCCACAUUGGGACUGAGAUACGGCCCAGACUCCUACGGGAGGCAGCAGUGGGGAAUAUUGCACAAGGGGUGGAAGCCUGAUGCAGCAACGCCGUGUGCGGGAUGACGGCCUUCGGGUUGUAAACCGCUUUCGCUCAUGACGAAGCUUUGUGUGACGGUAGUGGGUAAAGAAGCACCGGCUAACUACGUG
rnacentral:rRNA from 1 species